GAUGAACGCUAGCUACAGGCUUAACACAUGCAAGUCGAGGGGAAACGACAUCGAAAGCUUGCUUUUGGUGGGCGUCGACCGGCGCACGGGUGAGUAACGCGUAUCCAACCUGCCCACCACUUGGGGAUAACCUUGCGAAAGUAAGACUAAUACCCCAAUGAUAUCCCACGAAGGCAUCGGAAUGGGAUUAAAGAUUUAUCGGUGAUGGAUGGGGAUGCGUCUGAUUAGCUUGUUGGCGGGGUAACGGCCCACCAAGGCAACGAUCAGUAGGGGUUCUGAGAGGAAAGGUCCCCCCACAUUGGAACUGAGACACGGUCCAAACUCCUACGGGAGGCAGCAGUGAGGAAUAUUGGUCAAUGGGCGAGAGGCCCUGAACCAGCCAAGUGGCGUGCAGGACGACGGCCCUAUGGGUUGUAAACUGCUUUUAUAAGGGAUAAAGUGAGUCUCGUGAGACUUUUUGCAUGUACCUUAUG
rnacentral:rRNA from 1 species